AAGGGAGACCUAAUUCAGGUAUGGGACGAAAAAAAAGUAGUCGCUACCAAGAAUCAAUCCCAAAAGGUCGGAGCGAGGUAUGAGGCUUUCAAACUAGGUUCUGGGUUCAAACAAGACCUGAAUCAGGAACAAGGGCUAUUAGCUCAGGUGGUUAGAGCGCACCCCUGAUAAGGGUGAGGUCCCUGGUUCGAGUCCAGGAUGGCCCACCUGCACAGGUGGCAAAAACAAGAGAAGCUCCGAAUCAGCACCUUAUCUUACUGACAUAGUAAGAGAGAAUGCUGGCUCUGAGUAAAGAGUCCAGAGGAACCUUGAAAACUGCAUAGAGCUAGGUGAAAAAGCCAAAAAAGAAGACCGCAA
rnacentral:tRNA from 1 species